UGAAUCGAUCAGUUUGGUAUUUUUUAUUUUCGUUAGCGUCGUACAUCAGUUCUUCAACAAUUUCUUUGGUGAUUACAUCAUAAGAAAGCAAAUCAGCGUUGGAGAGACGUCGUACUGUUCGCCGUGGUGGAGAGCCGACAAGACAAUCGGUCAGUGUGUAAUGAUCAUGAUCAACAGGGCUAACAAACCGAAAAUUAUGUCUGGAUUUUACAUGUACAAACUGUGUUUCAGAUCGUUCAUAGCCUUUGUCAAAAGACUGUAUACAUACUACAUGGUGUUGAGGAACAUCGAAUCCGCCAACGGUUAUAAAUCCUUGUCGUUUUGAUCGGCUUAAGACGGACUUGUUUUUAUUUUUUUUUUUUCUAAGCUUUGUAACAUUAAAAUAUU